AGCCUUGUAUUCAUUUAUGUGAUUAUAGAAUGCAAUUCUGUAGGGGUUAGUUGAAAAUAACUUACCAAGGCCU
rnacentral:tRNA from 1 species